rnacentral:misc_RNA from 1 species
UACGGGAAGGCGCAGCAGUGGGGGAAUUUUGGACAAUGGGGGAAACCCUGGUCAGCCAUCCCGCGUGUGCGAUGAAGGCCUUCGGGUUGUAAAGCACUUUUUGGCAGAAAGAAACGGCGCAGGAUGUACCCGAUGCAACUGACGGCUACCUGCAGAAUAAGCACCGGCCUAACCGUGCCAGCAGCCGCGAUACGUAGGGUGCAAGCGUUAAUCGGAAUUACUGGGCGUAAAGCGUGCGCAGGCGGUUCCGGAAGAAAGAUGUGAAAUCCCAGAGCUUAACUUUGGAACUGCAUUUUCUUCUGAGCUAGAGAGUGUGUCAGAGGGAGGUGGAAUUCCGCGUGUAGCAGUGAAAUGCGUAGAUAUGCGGAGGAACACACCGGUGGCGAAGGCAGCCUCCUGGGAUAACACUGACGCUCAUGCACGAAAGCGUGGGGAGCAAACAGGAUUAAGAUACCCCUGUAGU